rnacentral:lncRNA from 1 species
AGGAGAUUGCCUCUGUCCAAGAAAAUAUCUUGAUAAGCUGCUCAGGGCAGAAGGGAAUGGCAAGGAACCUGAGGAACCAGCGUGAGGAAAACCUGGAUGAUCUGACGUCUUCCUCACUUUAUCCCUACCUGUCCACGCCUCCAUCCAUCCACCCAUCCAUCACUGAUCAAGCUCUCACUAUGUCUAUAGUGUAGAAGGUGCCACCAAAUGCAAUGGAACCUCUUGUCUCAUGUGUCUACUUGCAUCUUUAAGUUGAUACACGGAAGGCACAGUCCAAGCACAGGAUACUGGAAGCUAUGGAGGUACAGUGGCCUCUGAGCAAACUGAAAACUCUCUAUCACUAAAGGGUUGGGCAUACAGGGUAUCUCCUCUGCUCUGCCACCUACCUUGAGGAUGCUUUACAUGUGGCUAAAAGUGGAGGCAGAGAUAUUUGGAUAAAUAAAUGCUAGAGAAUUGGAAAUUCCUAGGACAAGUCAAUUUGGAUAUGUCUAUGUCAUCCUUUUUUUUCUAAGAGACACGUAACUCUGAUCCUUAAGGAGUUAGAGAGUUCCCAUAGCUUAGGGUCUGGAAGCCAUAUUCCUUUUUAUGUAACAUCCUUGAAU